GAGGAACGCUGGCUGCGUGCUUAACACAUGCAAGUCGAACGGAAAGGCCCUGCUGUUGGUGGGUGCUCGUGUGGCGAACUGGUGCGUAACACGUGAGUAACCUGCCCUUGACUUUGGGGUAACGUCAAGAAACUCGGGCUAAUACCGGAUAGGAGCUCCUGCGGCAUGGUGGGGGUUGGAAAGUUUCGGCGGUUGGGGAUGGACUCGCGGCUUAUCAGCGUGUUGGUGGGGGAGUGGCUUACCAAGGCUUUGACGGGUACCCGGCCUGAGAGGGUGACCGGCCAAAUUGGGACUGGGGUCAGGGCCCGACCCCCCACGGAGGCAGGCGGGGGGAAUACUGCAACAUGGGGGGCAGGCCGGUGCCGGAAAGACGGCUGCGGGAUGACGGCCUUAGGGUUCUAGAACGCUUUUGCCUGUGAGGAAGCGUUCGUGACGGUAAUGGGUAAAGAAGCACCGGCUAACUCCGUG
rnacentral:rRNA from 1 species